GUCCUAAGGUAGCGAAAUUCCUUGUCGGGUAAGUUCCGACCUGCACGAAUGGCGUAACGACUUCCCCGCUGUCUCCAACAUAGACUCAGUGAAAUUGAAUUCCCCGUGAAGAUGCGGGGUUCCUGCGGUCAGACGGAAAGACCCCGUGCACCUUUACUAUAGCUUUACACUGGCAUUCGCCAAGGCAUGUGUAGGAUAGGUGGUAGGCUUUGAAGCAGGGACGCCAGUUCCUGUGGAGCCAUCCUUGAAAUACCACCCUUAUCUUCGUGGAUGUCUAACCGCGGUCCGUUAUCCGGAUCCGGGACAGUGUAUGGUGGGUAGUUUGACUGGGGCGGUCGCCUCCGAAAGAGUAACGGAGGCGCGCGAUGGUUAGCUCAGACCGGUCGGAAAUCGGUCGUCGAGUGCAAUGGCAUAAGCUAGCCUGACUGCGAGACUGACAAGUCGAGCAGAGACGAAAGUCGGUCAUAGUGAUCCGGUGGUCCCGUGUGGAAGGGCCAUCGCUCAACGGAUAAAAGGUACGCCGGGGAUAACAGGCUGAUGACCCCCAAGAGUCCAUAUCGACGGGGUUGUUUGGCACCUCGAUGUCGACUCAUCGCAUCCUGGGGCUGGAGCAGGUCCCAAGGGUAUGGCUGUUCGCCAUUUAAAGCGGUACGUGAGUUGGGUUCAGAACGUCGUGAGACAGUUCGGUCCCUAUCUGCCGUGGGUGUAGGAAUAUUGACAGGAUCUGUCCCUAGUACGAGAGGACCGGGAUGGACGUAUCUCUGGUGGAUCUGUUGUCCUGCCAAGGGCAUAGCAGAGUAGCUAUAUACGGAAUGGAUAACCGCUGAAGGCAUCUAAGCGGGAAACCAACCUGAAAACGAGUGUUCCCUAUCAGAGCCGUGGAAGACGACCACGUCGAUAGGACGGGUGUGGAAGUGCAGUAAUGCAUGAAGCUUACCGUUACUAAUAGCUCGAGCGACUUCUUCGUUCCCAUU
rnacentral:rRNA from 1 species